rnacentral:rRNA from 1 species
CCCGCCGGCGACCGGCGCACGGGUGAGUAACACGUAUGCAACCUGGCCGCCACAGGGGGAUAACCCGCGGAAACGCGGCCUAAUACCCCGUGACGCCACCGGAGGGCAUCCUCCGGUGGCCAAAGGAGCGAUCCGGUGGCGGAUGGGCAUGCGGCGCAUUAGCUAGACGGCGGGGUGACGGCCCACCGUGGCGACGAUGCGUAGGGGUUCUGAGAGGAAGGCCCCCCACACUGGGACUGAGACACGGCCCAGAUUCCUACGGAAGGCAGCAG